rnacentral:misc_RNA from 1 species
GAUGAAGAACGUAGUGAAAUGCGACAAGUAGUGUGAAUUGCAGAAUUCAGUGAAUCAUCGAAUCUUUGAACGCACAUUGCGCCCUUUAGUAUUCCAAAGGGCAUGCCUGUUCGAGCGUCAUUUGUACCCUCAAGCUUUGCUUGGUGUUGGGCGUCUUGUCUCUAGCUUUGCUGGAGACUCGCCUUAAAGUAAUUGGCAGCCGGCCUACUGGUUUCGGAGCGCAGCACAAGUCGCACUCUCUAUCAGCAAAGGUCUAGCAUCCAUUAAGCCUUUUUUUCAACUUUUGACCUCGGAUCAGGUAGGGAUACCCGCUGAACUUAAGCAUAUCAAUAAGCGGAGGA